rnacentral:rRNA from 1 species
CCCUUAGAUGCUCUGGGCCGCACGCGCGCUACACUGGUCGAUGCAACGAGUUUCUUUCCUUGGCCGACAGGCCUGGGCAAUCUUUGAACAUCGAUCGUGAUCGGGAUAGAUUCUUGUAAUUUUUGAUCUUAAACGAGGAAUUCCUAGUAAACGCAAGUCAUCAGCUUGCAUUGAUUACGUCCCUGCCCUUUGUACACACCGCCCGUCGCACCUACCGAUUGAAUGGUCCGGUGAAAUCUCCGGACUGGCGUGAGUCGGAGCAAUCUGACAAACACCGGAAAGUUGAUUAAACCUUACCAUUUAGAGGAAGGUGAAGUCGUAACAA